CACCAGUGGGACACCGUUUAACCAACCUGCCAGCCGUUCACCGAGAAAGACGAUGUUUAGAAGGAACAAGCUGGUUCUGAGGACUCCAUCUCCCGCUGCAAGAACCUUCGCUGUGCGAUCCUUGCUGCUGAGCUGAAGGUGGUGAAAGAGCUGCUGGAAUCCGAAUUAGACCGGAAUGAUGAACUUAAACAGUUGCACUCAUCAGCCAGUCGAGAAAAGGCAGUGAAGUAUAGGAGGCACAAGCCCUAUUCACCAUCGAAAGCACCGCAAUAUGUUAAACUGGUGGAGGAGUUCAAGGAGCACACGGAAGGAAGCAAUCCCAGGCGGAAAAUGAAGGAGAAUGCCCGCCAGCGAGCUAACCACGUCCUGAACUUUCUGACGUUCAUGUCCCAGCCCGCUGUUCCACAUU